AUUGAACGCUGGCGGAAUGCUUUACACAUGCAAGUCGAACGGCAGCACGGACUUCGGUCUGGUGGCGAGUGGCGAACGGGUGAGUAAUACAUCGGAACAUGCCCAGUCGUGGGGGAUAACGUAGCGAAAGCUACGCUAAUACCGCAUACGAUCCAAGGAUGAAAGCGGGGGAUCGCAAGACCUCGCGCGAUUGGAGUGGCCGAUGGCAGAUUAGGUAGUUGGUAGGGUAAAGGCCUACCAAGCCGACGAUCUGUAGCUGGUCUGAGAGGAUGAUCAGCCACACUGGGACUGAGACACGGCCCAGACUCCUACGGGAGGCAGCAGUGGGGAAUUUUGGACAAUGGACGCAGGUCUGAUCCAGCCAUUCCGCGUGCAGGAUGAAGGCCCUCGGGUUGUAAACUGCUUUUGUACAGAACGAAAAGGCUCUGGUUAAUACCUGGGGCUCAUGACGGUACUGUAAGAAUAAGCACCGGCUAACUACGUGCCAGCCGCCGCGGUAA
rnacentral:rRNA from 1 species